rnacentral:tRNA from 1 species
GGUCGUGUGGCGCAAUGGUUAGCGCGUCAGACUUCGAAUCUGGAGGCUGUGGGUUCGAAUCCCAUCUCGAUCU